CUUGCGUGGCCUGGUCAGUAAUGUGUCUGGCUUGCAACCAAAGGGUCGUAGGUUUGAAUCCUACCUAAAA
rnacentral:tRNA from 1 species